GUUAUACUAAAUACACCGAAGUAUCAUUGUUUUUGUACCUACACGACUAAAAAGGGAGUUCGCGUCGGUAUGGAAUAUGGUCAGGCCUACUAGUUUAGGAAGACCUAAGGCCAUCGUAGAACACCCACCUUGUUUUUAAUAGCAGGGUGUCAAAGAGAUGAGCUUCGGUUUUUAUUUAGUAUUUUU
rnacentral:other from 3 species